rnacentral:rRNA from 1 species
AACGAACGCUGGCGGCGCGCUUAACACAUGCAAGUCGAACGAGAAGUUGUAGCAAUACAGUUGUAAAGUGGCAAACGGGUGAGUAAUGCGUGGGUAAUCUACCCUAGGGUGGGGAAUAACUCCUCGAAAGGGGAGCUAAUGCCGACAUGUGCGCCACUCUCGCAAGGGAGUGAUGGAAAGCCGUACCGUGGGUGCGGCGCCCAAGGAUGAGCUCACGUCCUAUCAGCUUGNGGUCGGGGUAACGGCCCACCAAGGCUGCGACGGGUAGCUGGUCUGAGAGGACGACCAGCCACACUGGCACUGCGACACGGGCCAGACUCCUACGGGAGGCAGCAGUGAGGAAUNUUGCGCAAUGGACGACAGUCUGACGCAGCGACGCCGCGUGGGGGAUGAAGGCCUUCGGUU